GCCAGUAUCGGUCGACUGAGCGCGGUAGUGGGUGGGGUGGGAGCGUUGUCGGGAAUUGCUGGGCGUAAAGAGGUCGUGGGUGGGUGGUCGCGUUGUUCGUGAAAACUCACAGCGUAACUGGGGGCGUGCGGGCGAUACGGGCAGACUAGAGUACUGCAGGGGAGACUGGAAUUCCUGGUGUAGCGGUGGAAUGCGCAGAUAUCAGGAGGAACACCGGUGGCGAAGGCGGGUCUCUGGGCAGUAACUGACGCUGAGGAGCGAAAGCGUGGGUAGCGAACAGGAUUAGAUACCCCUGUAGUC
rnacentral:rRNA from 1 species